rnacentral:rRNA from 1 species
AGAAAUCGUUAAGGGCGUAUGGCGGAUGCCUAGGCUUUCAGAGGCGAAGAAGGACGUGGUAAGCUGCGAAAAGCUCGGGGGAUUGGCACACACGAAUUGAUCCCGAGAUGUCCGAAUGGGGCAACCCAAUACAUUGAAGAUGUAUUACCCGCCGUAAGGCGAGGAGCAAACCCGGAGAACUGAAACAUCUAAGUACCCGGAGGAAAAGAAAUCGAAGAGAUUCCGUAAGUAGUGGCGAGCGAAAGCGGAUUAGCCCAAAAGUCUUUAUAUAUUUAGAAGAAUGUUCUGGAAAGAACAGCCAUAGACGGUGAUAGCCCGGUAUUCGAAAGGUAUAUUAAGAUGAUAAAUGAGUAGGGCGGGACACGUGAAAUCCUGUCUGAAUAUGGGGGGACCAUCCUCCAAGGCUAAAUACUCCUGAAAGACCGAUAGUGAACAAGUACUGUGAAGGAAAGGUGAAAAGCACUUCGAAUAGAAGGGUGAAAUAGAACCUGAAACCGUACGCCUACAAGCGGUCGGAGCCCACAAGUUGGGUGACGGCGUGCCUUUUGCAUAAUGAGCCUACGAGUUAAUUUUACUAGCGAGGUUAAGUAAUUAAGUUACGGAGCCGGAGCGAAAGCGAGUCUGAAUAGGGCGCAUAGUUAGUAGGAUUAGACGCGAAACCUUGUGAUACACAAAGUGGAGGACCGAACCGGUUGACGUUGAAAAGUCUUCGGAUGACCUGUGGGUAGGGGUGAAAGGCCAAUCAAACUGGGAGAUAGCUCGUACUCCCCGAAAUGCAUUUAGGUGCAGCGUUGCGACAAGUUUAUUAGAGGUAGAGCUACUGAUUGGAUGCGGGGGAGUCAAAUCCUACCAAUUCCUGACAAACUCCGAAUGCUAAUAAAUGUUUCGCAGCAGUGAGGGCAUGGGUGCUAAGGUCCAUGUCCGAGAGGGAAAGAACCCAGACCAACAGCUAAGGUCCCCAAAUAUAUGCUAAGUUGAAACAACGCGGUUGGACUGCAUUGACAGCUAGGAUGUUGGCUUGGAAGCAGCCAUUCAUUUAAAGAGUGCGUAACAGCUCACUAGUCGAGCGGUCCGGCAUGGAUAAUAAUCGGGCAUAAGCAUAUUACCGAAGCUAUGGAUUUAUAAUUAAUUAUAUCUGGUAGGGGAGCAUUCUAUUUGCGCCGAAGCAGUAUCGUGAGGUAUUGUGGAGCGGAUAGAAAAGAAAAUGUAGGCAUAAGUAACGAUAAAGGGGGCGAGAAACCCCCUCACCGAAAGACUAAGGUUUCCUCAGCCAUGCUAAUCAGCUGAGGGUUAGUCGGGACCUAACGCGAACCCGAAAGGGGUAGUGGAUGGACAAUGGGUUAAUAUUCCCAUACUUGCUCACACUAAAAAGGGGACGGUUCGACGUAGCUAUUGAAGACGGACGGAAGUGUCAAGGCCUAGCCUUCGGGCGAAGCUGUUAUAGUGAAAUCGGAUCCAAGAAAAGCCGAAGUGAAGCAACCCGUACCAAAACCGACACAGGUGGUCGAGGAGAGAAUCCUAAGGUGCUCGAGUGAGUCGUGGCUAAGGAACUAGGCAAAAUAGUCUCGUAACUUCGGAAGAAGAGACGCCAGCAGCAAUGCUGGCCGCAGUGAAGAGGCCCAGGCGACUGUUUAUCAAAAACACAGGACUCUGCUAAAUCGAAAGAUGCUGUAUAGGGUCUGACACCUGCCCGGUGCUGGAAGGUUAAGGAAGGGCGUUAGCGUAAGCGAAGCGUUUGACUGAAGCCCCAGUAAACGGCGGCCGUAACUAUAACGGUCCUAAGGUAGCGAAAUUCCUUGUCGGGUAAGUUCCGACCUGCACGAAUGGUGUAACGAUC